GACGAACGCUGGCGGCGUGCUUAACACAUGCAAGUCGAACGGAAAGGCCCUGCUUUUGUGGGGUGCUCGAGUGGCGAACGGGUGAGUAACACGUGAGUAACCUGCCCUUGACUUUGGGAUAACUUCAGGAAACUGGGGCUAAUACCGGAUAGGAGCUCCUGCUGCAUGGUGGGGGUUGGAAAGUUUCGGCGGUUGGGGAUGGACUCGCGGCUUAUCAGCUUGUUGGUGGGGUAGUGGCUUACCAAGGCUUUGACGGGUAGCCGGCCUGAGAGGGUGACCGGCCACAUUGGGACUGAGAUACGGCCCAGACUCCUACGGGAGGCAGCAGUGGGGAAUAUUGCACAAUGGGCGGAAGCCUGAUGCAGAAACGCCGCGUGCGGGAUGACGGCCUUCGGGUUGUAAACCGCUUUCGCCUGUGACGAAGCGUGAGUGACGGUAAUGGGUAAAGAAGCACCGGCUAAGUACGUG
rnacentral:rRNA from 1 species